GUGAGGAAUAUUGCGCAAUGGAGGCAACUCUGACGCAGCCAUGCCGCGUGCAGGAAGAAGGCGCUACGCGUUGUAAACUGCUUUUAACCGGGAAGAAACCCCAGGACGUGUCCUGGGUUGACGGUACCGGAGGAAUAAGCACCGGCUAACUUCGUGCCAGCAGCCGCGGUAAUACGAAGGGUGCACGCGUUAUCCGGAUUCAUUGGGUUUAAAGGGUGCGUAGGCGGAGCGUUAAGUCAGUGGUGAAAUCCUGCAGCUUAACUGUAGACUUGCCAUUGAUACUGGCGCUCUUGAGUGCGCUUGAAGUGGGCGGAAUGUGCCGUGUAGCGGUGAAAUGCUUAGAUAUGGCACAGAACACCAAUUGCGAAGGCAGCUCACUAAGGCGAUACUGACGCUGAGGCACGAAAGCGUGGGGAUCGAACAGGAUUAGAAACCCGGGUAGUCC
rnacentral:rRNA from 1 species